UACGUAGGGAGCAAGCGUUGUCCGGAAUCAUUGGGCGUAAGCGCGCGUAGGCGGCCCGAUAAGUCCGCUGUGAAAGUCAACGGCUCAACUGUUGGAAUGCCGGUGGAUACUGUCGGGCUAGAGUACGGAAGAGGCAAGUGGAAUUCCUGGUGUAGACGGUGGAAUACGCAGAUAUCAGGAGGAACACCUAUAGCGAAGGCAGCUUGCUGGACGAUACUGACGCUAAGGGCGCGAAAGCGGUGGGGAGCGAACAGGA
rnacentral:rRNA from 1 species